UCCCCGUUUCACAGGGCGGUCUGAUCAGAGUGCACGAUCCUUGCGGACCGUUAGCAACAGAUCAUAAGGGUUGCGCUCGUUGCGGGACUUAACCCAACAUCUCACGACACGAGCUGACGACAGCCAUGCAGCACCUGUGCAAAUUGCCCCUUGCGGGGCUCGCCGGUUUUCACCGGGUUAGAGAUGCAUGUCAAGCCCAGGUAAGGUUCUUCGCGUUGCAUCGAAUUAAGCCACAUACUCCACCGCUUGUGCGGGCCCCCGUCAAUUUCUUUGAGUUUUAAUCUUGCGAUCGUACUCCCCAGGCGGCGCGUUUAACGCGUUAGCUCCGGCACGGAAGGGGUCGAAUCCUCCCACACCAAACGCGCACCGUUUACUGCCAGGACUAC
rnacentral:misc_RNA from 1 species